AUGAGAGGAGAAGAGGGAAUUUAUUCAGUUUUCUCAGAUUUCCUCAAGCUCUGCGUUUUCGUUUCAUACCCGUUGUUUCACGUCUCUUCCUCACUCACUCGGUCAGAACCAACAACAACAAUCCAGUUCAUCUCAAGUGAUUUUAGUAAUUUCGAAUCACUCCCCAAAGAACUGGACAAUAACAACAUGGUUCAAAUUCAAAUUCCAUCAUCAAAAUAA